rfam:Canis lupus familiaris chromosome 26, whole genome shotgun sequence.
GCCUCUCUGGCUCAGUUGGUAGAGCAUGUGAUUCUUGAUCUCAAGGUAGUGAGUUCAAGCCCCAUGCUGGGCG